GAUCGAUCCAACUCCGAUAUGAAAUCUUAAUAAAAAAUUCUUUUCCAUUAUUUCACUCUGUCAUGGCCAUGGGCUUAAGGACUCGAUCUUUCAAUCAUCAUAGGACUACUCCUCUCAUCUACCGAGGUUGAUAGAUCCUUUCUUGGUGCGAUCUGAUUCCUACUAUCAAUAUGCUACAGCCAACAUACACCUCAGGAUUUCGAAUGGCUAGG
rnacentral:lncRNA from 1 species